CUGCAUGCUUAACACAUGCAAGUCGAACGAGAAAGUGCCUUCGGGCGCGAGUAAAGUGGCGGACGGGUGAGUAAUGCAUAGGAAUCUGCCCAGUAGUAGGGGACAACUCGGGGAAACUCGAGCUAAUACCGUAUAUUUCCUAAGGGAGAAAGACUUCGGUCGCUAUUGGAUGAGCCUAUGUCAGAUUAGCUUGUUGGUAGGGUAAUGGCCUACCAAGGCAACGAUCUGUAGCUGGUCUGAGAGGAUGAUCAGCCACACUGGGACUGAGACACGGCCCAGACUCCUACGGGAGGCAGCAGUGGGGAAUAUUGGACAAUGGGCGAAAGCCUGAUCCAGCAAUGCAGCGUGUGUGAAGAAGGCCUGAGGGUUGUAAAGCACUUUCAGUAGGGAAGAUAAUGACGGUACCUACAGAAGAAGCACCGGC
rnacentral:rRNA from 1 species